UCUUAGUUAGCAAUAAUAGCUAAACUAGGGCUACAUGCUUAUUAAUAGCGCUUUCUAAAGAAAGCCAUAAAAUUCAAUCAUGACAUUAAGUACUCUAGUUAGGAAAUAUGAAAUGAUGGUGUUUAUUUUUAAUUAAUGAGCUACAUAUC
rnacentral:sRNA from 12 species